CGAUGAGAAAGGGAAAGGCAGGUGGUGCUCCAGGUGGUAGCUUAUGGGAGUACUCUGGUAGUAUUAAAAGUUCAAAAAUUUCAGAACAUUGAAAUUAUCCUUUAGUUGUACAUUUCUGCUAGGAAUUUAUCCAAGGGAGAUCCCUAGGCACGUGUGCCGAGCACAAGAUGCAACAUAAUGAAGAAUCAGACCAUUCACGGAGUGACAUUUCAGCAAGUCACACAGCGGGUGGCCAGGCAACCCACAGAGUUGACACCACCCACACUUACGGACGUGGGAGGGUAUGAGCAGCAGCGAACACUCAGGAACGUUUGAUGCCAAUCAUCUCACACUGCCCACUGUGUCCACACUUAGCACGCAGAUCUCACGAGUGGUUCCUUCUCUCUCCUGCUGGAGGCAUAAGGGGAUUUUUCUCUGAUACUCACUGUGGGUCAUGGUCGAUGAUCUGGAGAGCACAAUGACCCUGGAUUAAAAUUUCCUCGGUUCCUGGGACAAGAUGGCAGAGUAGAAGGACCUUGAGCUCACCUCCUCUCGUGAGCACACCAAAAUCACAACUAACUGCUGAACAGCCAUCGAUAAGAAAAGAAUUCAACAUGUAGCAAAACCAUCUGGCUAAGAAGGUGGCUGUCACAUGCUGUCUCAACCUGGGAGACAGCUGUCCCGGGCACACAGCAGUGCCGCGGGCUGUGCGAUGGCUACAUGGCUCUCAGCCCUGGGGCGUCGUGAAGAAGUGACCCCACCGAGGUCACCUUCUCCAGCUUGCCAGAGAAUGUCAACGUUCUUGUUCUUCCUGGCGUGCACGUUCUGACCCAGGAACCGCAGCAGCUCCGGCAGGCACGUCUGGCUCCGAGAUCGAGGUAGGCCUGGAAGAGAGACGGGGUCGUGGAGCUGGGGCCGCCCACGGGGACUUAGCCCACGGCAGCCAGCGCCGCCGGAAACGGCCAAAGGAUGAGUCCCGGCCGGAGCCGGAGGUUCAGUGUGAUUGAAGCAAGAAGGGAGGCCUGUGUUCAGGGACUGGGCCUGGUGGCCAGCACGGGGAGCACUCCGUUACUUUCACUGCCACUUCAGUGCCACCUGCAAAGGGCAACCACCUGGCCUCCUUUCAGUUCUUUCGAGGGGCUGGAGGGGGAGCUCGAAUCAUCGAGAACGGGAGGGAGGGAGGGAGAUCCAUCAGGUCUUCAGAACUGCCGCCA